rnacentral:rRNA from 1 species
GAGUAAUCUGCCCCUGGCUUUGGGAUAGCCACCGGAAACGGUGAUUAAUACCGGAUAUGACCACUUUACGCAUGUUUGGUGGUGGAAAGUUUUUCGGCCAGGGAUGUGCUCGCGGCCUAUCAGCUUGAUGGUGAGGUAAUGGCUCACCAUGGCUUCGACGGGUAGCCGGCCUGAGAGGGUGACCGGCCACACUGGGACUGAGACACGGCCCAGACUCCUACGGGAGGCAGCAGUGGGGAAUAUUGGACAAUGGGCGGAAGCCUGAUCCAGCAACGCCGCGUGAGGGAUGACGGCCUUCGGGUUGUAAACCUCUUUCAGUACCGACGAAGCGCAAGUGACGGUAGGUACAGAAGAAGCACCGGCCAACUACGUGCCAGCAGCCGCGGUAAUACGUAGGGUGCGAGCGUUGUCCGGAAUUAUUGGGCGUAAAGGGCUCGUAGGCGGUUUGUCGCGUCGGGAGUGAAAACCAGGUGCUUAACACCUGGCUUGCUUUCGAUACGGGCAGACUAGAGGUAUUCAGGGGAGAACGGAAUUCCUGGU